GAGAGUCAGACACAGCUGAAGCGACUGAGCACUCUGUGGUGAAAUAUCCAAGAGGCGCAAAGCAUUUUAACAUUUUAGAAUAUUUUUCUCACAGAACUUCUGUGAUGGGGUAUUGUUGCCUCUGCAUUGCAGCUGGAGAGAGACAAAGAGAUUUAGGGGGACUUCCUCACAUUCCACAGUGAAAGGACUUCUGAGAAGCAAACAAAAUUCUGCCGACAUCAAGCCUCUGACUUUUACCGCUGCAAAAUAAUCUCCCCCGAACAGCCUCUCCCAACAAUAUCAGGUUUCUUCAGCUGAGUAUUUAGGAGGCUGCCGGCAAGUCUAAUCACCUGGGACAUCUUAACAACUAAAGUCACAUUUGAUGGAAAAACUCAUCAAGAAGCCAUGGGUGAUGGAGGGCAUCUUGUCAGAAGUCUGGCUCCAAAUACGCGUGAUGCCACAUAUUUGGAAUUCUGGAAGGAGAAUGCAGAAUUGGUUCAAGAAAAGUAGCAGAGAGGUUUAUCUGAUUCUCUGAAUACAGUGUUUUCAAAGGAGAAACAAGUUCUCCAGGAGCUGAAAAGCACCAUUUAUUCAAAACAGUAAAUGAAGCAUUUGUUAUUGGUAUAAACAAAGACAUAAAAUAGAUCCUCAGGCAGACUUUCAGGAAACCGGGGGCAGAAGGGAGCAGAGAAAGAAGAACCGAAAGAGAGAGAGAGCUUAGACAAAUAAGCAGUUUUGUCUUGAACAUUUGCCAGGGAAAGCUGGGUAAUGACGGCUUCGAAACAAAACGAAAAGGAAACGGGGAUGUUGGAUUUUUUAUUUACAACCAGAGCAACACCCCUUCCUAAGGGUCAAAUUGUCUGGACUCCCUCAUCCAAGCCUUCCUUCCUGGGCCUCAGAAGCAGCUUUGUUGGAAAUGGUGGGCUGCCUGGUGAGUAUGGAUUCAGAGCGUUAUCUGACCUUUGGAAAGAGUUCUUGCCGUGGGAUAAGGACUGAAGGACUGCCUCCACCCCCGGUGGCAGGAUGAUUCAUGGACAUGCAAUUUCCUAGCUCUUUUUUCCUGAAUAGAGUCCAGGUCAUGCUGUCAAAGUGUCACUAGUUCACUCUUUAAAAGGGAAAAGGAAUCCUUGGGAUUUAGAAUAACAGAAUCAUACAAUGCAAAAUCUAGGAGAGUAACUUACCCCUCCCUCCUUCGCGGACACCUCAGUAUGAGAUGAGAGAUAUUUGGGCGUUAGCCAAGCCAACCAUCUGAGGAAGUUUCAAGACAGCAGUUACUUGAGGUCUUUCUAGAAGGGGAGGGGGAGGGGUAAAGACUUGACAAGAAGCAGCAGCAGAGUGCUGGAAUGGCUGAGCAUCAGCCUUGGUGAUUAAUCAGCGGCAUUUAGAGCUCUCUCUCUCUCUCAGCUCAACAAGGCAGGGAACCUCCUGGCAAAAGGCUCUGUUCCAGGAUUUCUGACACUUGGUUUUCUGGCCUGUGUCAAGCAUUUCUUGAGAACUGUCUGGCCAGUCCCAUGCUGGCGCCUGCCACGUUGUUCUUAGCAGGAUCUUUGAAGUAGGAAAAGGGCUUCUUCGAAUUCUAACCAGUGCCUUUGACUACAUGGAGACUGCUAAUUCACCCUAGUUGGCUGCUUGCCCUGUUGCCCCUCUAUCCCACAGGCAGGACCUGAAAUGGAAGCCCAGAGUUUAGAGUUGACAUGAACCAUAGAGAUGUUUCAGCUCAACACCUGGCCCAUCAAGUGGUUAAUAAUUAAUUAAUCGAUGCCAAGUCCCUAGGGUAUGUCAGACUCUGUUCUGG
ensembl:lncRNA